UGAGGAAUCCGCAUAGAAAAAGUCAGGAGUGACAGAUCGCCCAGAGUGGGUGACAGCUUUACAGAGCGCUCAGACGACGACGGAGUCAAGCAGCCCCCCUUCUUACAGUUGCCAUCUUACAAAGCUUUAUUAUAGGCUCUUAACACCGUGUCCACACUUGCAAAAGAGCGACACGGCGCUACAAAACUUCAAGCUAAUCAGUAUAACAGCAGUCGAUUAUAACGGUCGCUUUCUAUUUUUGUCGCGUCGCGUGAGAUUAUUACGUAAUUACGCACUUGUGGCGGUUCCCAAGAGCGUAUACAAAUAUAUAGAUAUCGCGCGUGUUCGCUUCGACCAGUAACUUUAAAUCGCGCGACUUUCGUUAAGUUGAAAUACAUUACAAAGUUACCGAUGACACGGCAAGUAUCAGUCGGAGUGGAGAAGGCAUCCUUUCUGGACAUCUAUACAUUUUCUCACAAAGUAUAUUUCUGCUGUCAGCGCUGGAGGAAACGUCACGGGCGUGCACGCGAAGAAGUUUCAAAAGAAAGUUCGUCGGGCGGAUCUUUCUUAGAAAUGCAUACUGAUUGUAACUUAGGCUGGCACCAAGUCUGAUGACUUUUCCCAGAAGAUUCAGUCGAGACAUAGAGAGAGGGGGCAGAAAGAGAGCUUUCUUGUCCAAUAGGAGGCAAGGGGGCUGAAGAAUGUGAAAAGCUCCCAUUCAGGCCGGUUCACAGGGGCUGGGAGCGGCCACAUCCUCAGGAGGGAGGAGGGGUUGCUGCUUUCAGGAGGGUGGGCUAGGGAUCCUGGACAGGGGCCAGGAGCGAUGCAGAGGCUCCUCGGAUGACGCUGGUCCGUGGGAGCGUCCAGUGCCUCCGCCUCUCCUCUGUCCCUUAGGACACAGACUCUGGACCCCUUGCUUUCUAUUUACUCGCACAAACAACCUCUCCCCACAGUCCUUCUACCCUCAGAGCAGAAGCAGCCAGUAGGCUGCAGGAUGAGGAAUGCGUCUCUAUUAAUAGAGCAGUUAGAUUAUCUCGAAGACUAAUGACUGGCAUGUCCAGAUUCUUGAAAGUCAUGGUAGUGACGUACUUUCAUCCACCGGUCUUCAUGAUCUCAUUUCUUAUGAUAUUUUCUGAACGUAGUGGCUCUCUUUUUAAAACAGUUUAUAUUCUACUUGCACAGUUUUAUUCUCACUUAUAGUUAAUAAAAGCAUUUAAAGCGACUGCAAAAAAAACGGUCUUGUUUACAGCUAAAAUAUCUAGAACUUAAAUCAAGUAAAAAUUUUGACUUGUUUUCAGAAAAAAACUAAUAAAAUUGAAGCAAAUUUUUCCUCAGAAAAAGCUAAAUAAUUGUAUUUUAAAGAUGAUAAUUUUUACUUACCCUGUUGGCAGAUUAUGUUUCUUGUUUCAAGUAAAAACAUUGCAUUUUGAUUUGUUAUUUUCUGAAAACAAAACCGUAAUGUUUAUUUGUGUAGAAAAUCUUCCUUGACUUAAGAAUAUAAAUAAAAUAAAAAAAAAAAAAUUAUCUGGAAAAAAUCUUGCUUGCAGUGAUUUCAAAUGCAAGUAAAUACAGAAGUAAAAAAAAAAAAUUAAAUGUUUUUACUUAUUUAUGUUUUAUUUAUUUAAAAAUACCAGUUAGCACAUUUAGUCAAACUAGAAAUAAAAAAAGGUAAACUCAAAACUAAAUAAAACUUUAAAAACAAAACCAUGUUUAAAAACAUUAAAACUAAGAACUAAAAUAAAUAGGGGGGAAAAAACUCAAUUCUAAAUAAUAGCCUGCUUAAGCAAAGUGUUUGUAUUUGUAUUAAUUGUAAUGCGAUAUUCGGGUAUUCUUGGGUCAAGAAGUUCUUUCCUAAGCCAUGGCCAGAUCUGACUUGUGAGCCUAUAUGAGCUUCAGGGAGUGUAAACAUCCUACACUCUCAGCUGGAGCCCAGCCUGAGGCCGGGAGUGGGAUGUUUGCGCUCUCUGGCUCAGGAACGCCACUCUCACUGCGGCUGCGCUACGGAGGGGAGCAGCUUAUUCAGAAAAAGUCGUCUAGAUGUUCUAAUCAUCUACUGAGUAGACGGUAGACCUGAAAUUACACCUGACCGCUUUGUUGGAACGUACACUGGAACUAGUCACCGGGGUAGGUAGCGAUCACCUAACUAUCUUUCUAAACGUAUGUUCACUGUGUGAAAAGUAUGUUAAAAAGCUCAGGAUAAAAGAAGACGGCUACUUCCUGGACCUUGUGGAUAGAUUUGGAAGUGGAUACGAGAGCUUUGUAACGCACACAGGAAGUGAACUCCAUUGUGAGCUUGGAAAGGGCUCUGAGGGUGAGUGGCCUGUCAUUAAGCUGCUCAGGGCAGACUGAACUCUAGGUCUCUUUGAAGCUUUCUGACCCCACAGGGUGGGACAACGUUGUUAAACUGCAAGCGCCCCCACCCAGACAGAGCUGCCGAUGGAAUUGCCUGAGAGGAAGUGACUAUUUAUACCCGCUAAGGAACAGAGAGGCACCCUUCCGAUGGGCGUCUCUCCACUUGCUUCCUUUGACAAAUACGUUAGGACUGCUCUCAUGAAAGCUAACCCUAACUCCACAAAGACAUGCACAACAUCCAGUGCUCUCAAUGGUAUUUGUGUACACGCCUAACCGUGUUUUGGUUACCAUUCUCUCCUGCAAUGACCUUUACCCACUUUUGCUUGGUGAUGUCAUAGCUCAAGCAUCUCUUAUAUGUGGCCACUAGGUGGAAGACUAGCUCCAGGAAAUUCCUACUAGCUGAAAGACUGCUUGGGAAGCAAGUACACAAAAAUUUCAAUUAUCCACUACAAAAUUUUAAGCAUCUUCUUAUUAAGUAUGUGCCUCCAAUUCAACAACACCAAACCAGAAAAAAAAAUUAUAUAUAUAUAUAUAUAUAUAUAUAUAUAUAUAUAUAUAUAUAUAUAUAUAUAUAUAAAACAAUCCUGUAAUUAUUUUUUUAAAUAUAUAUUUUGCUGGUAUUUACUUUUUUUUUCUUUCACAAUAUCUAUGUGCAAAAGUAAUCUCUGUUGUACUUUGCCUAAAACCAAAGUGAAAAGAGUUCAGUCACAUUUUCACCUCAAAGUGCGUCUCCCUGCUCUGUGUUGGAAAUUAAAAAACAGAGACGUUUCAGUCAACUGACAGCCUCUGCUCAAGCUUUUCCCGUCAACUGGAACAAUCAAAACUGAAGUAUGACAACAAAAGCAUCACUCAUCAUUAGUUUGACUAUUUUCCUUCUUUGAACUGACUAAUUCUUCUUAUAAUGCCUUAUAAGGCCUUUUCAUCUAACUGCAUGAGAGCUACUGAAUUUACACCAAGUUCCUUUCAAAUGUUUCAAACAAUAAUCUUGCCCCACAGGUGGCACAGCAACAGGAAGAAAGAAAUUGGUAUGUAUGUGCGUUAUGUGUAAAGUAAAAACAUCAGGAGAUUGUUCUGUGAAUGUUGUUUCUUCUUUGCUUAAUAAACCAUAAACAGAUGACA